rnacentral:rRNA from 1 species
GUGGGGAAUAUUGGACAAUGGGCGAAAGCCUGAUCCAGCCAUGCCGCGUGUGUGAAGAAGGUCUUCGGAUUGUAAAGCACUUUAAGUUGGGAGGAAGGGCAGUAAGCUAAUACCUUGCUGUUUUGACGUUACCGACAGAAUAAGCACCGGCUAACUUCGUGCCAGCAGCCGCGGUAAUACGAAGGGUGCAAGCGUUAAUCGGAAUUACUGGGCGUAAAGCGCGCGUAGGUGGUUCAGCAAGUUGGAGGUGAAAUCCCCGGGCUCAACCUGGGAACUGCCUCCAAAACUACUGAGCUAGAGUACGGUAGAGGGUAGUGGAAUUUCCUGUGUAGCGGUGAAAUGCGUAGAUAUAGGAAGGAACACCAGUGGCGAAGGCGACUACCUGGACUGAUACUGACACUGAGGUGCGAAAGCGUGGGGAGCAAACAGGAUUAGAUACCCGAGUAGUCC